rnacentral:rRNA from 1 species
AGACAGCAGCAGCCACGGUAAUACGUAGGUGGCAAGCGUUGUCCGGAAUUAUUGGGCGUAAAGGGCUCGCAGGCGGUUUCUUAAGUCUGAUGUGAAAGCCCCCGGCUCAACCGGGGAGGGUCAUUGGAAACUGGGAAACUUGAGUGCAGAAGAGGAGAGUGGAAUUCCACGUGUAGCGGUGAAAUGCGUAGAGAUGUGGAGGAACACCAGUGGCGAGGGCGACUCUCUGGUCUGUAACUGACGCUGAGGAGCGAAAGCGUGGGGAGCGAACAGGAUUAGAUACCCCGGUAGUCCCUGUCUCUUAUAC